AUUGAACGCUGGCGGCAGGCUUAACACAUGCAAGUCGAGCGGAGCGAGGGUGCUUGCACCUUAGCUUAGCGGCGGACGGGUGAGUAAUGCUUAGGAAUCUGCCUAUUAGUGGGGGACAACAUUCCGAAAGGAAUGCUAAUACCGCAUACGCCCUACGGGGGAAAGCAGGGGAUCUUCGGACCUUGCGCUAAUAGAUGAGCCUAAGUCGGAUUAGCUAGUUGGUGGGGUAAAGGCCUACCAAGGCGACGAUCUGUAGCGGGUCUGAGAGGAUGAUCCGCCACACUGGGACUGAGACACGGCCCAGACUCCUACGGGAGGCAGCAGUGGGGAAUAUUGGACAAUGGGCGGAAGCCUGAUCCAGCCAUGCCGCGUGUGUGAAGAAGGCCUUUUGGUUGUAAAGCACUUUAAGCGAGGAGGAGGCUCUUAAGGUUAAUACCCUUGAUGAGUGGACGUUACUCGCAGAAUAAGCACCGGCUAACUCUGUGCCAGCCGCCGCCGCGGUAACAC
rnacentral:rRNA from 1 species